rnacentral:rRNA from 1 species
AUUGAACGCUGGCGGCAGGCCUAACACAUGCAAGUCGAGCGGUAACAGGGGUAGCUUGCUACCCGCUGACGAGCGGCGGACGGGUGAGUAAUGCAUAGGAAUCUGCCCGAUAGUGGGGGAUAACCUGGGGAAACCCAGGCUAAUACCGCGUACGUCCUACGGGAGAAAGGGGGCUCCGGCUCCCGCUAUCGGAUGAGCCUAUGUCGGAUUAGCUGGUUGGUGAGGUAACGGCUCACCAAGGCGACGAUCCGUAGCUGGUCUGAGAGGAUGAUCAGCCACAUCGGGACUGAGACACGGCCCGAACUCCUACGGGAGGCAGCAGUGGGGAAUAUUGGACAAUGGGGGGAACCCUGAUCCAGCCAUGCCGCGUGUGUGAAGAAGGCCCUCGGGUUGUAAAGCACUUUCAGUGAGGAAGAACGCCUGGUGGUUAAUACCCAUCAGGAAAGACAUCACUCACAGAAGAAGCACCGGCUAACUCCGUGCCAGCAGCCGCGGUAAUACGGAGGGUGCGAGCGUUAAUCGGAAUUACUGGGCGUAAAGCGCGCGUAGGUGGCUUGAUAAGCCGGUUGUGAAAGCCCCGGGCUCAACCUGGGAACGGCAUCCGGAACUGUCAGGCUAGAGUGCAGGAGAGGAAGGUAGAAUUCCCGGUGUAGCGGCGAAAUGCGUAGAGAUCGGGAGGAAUACCAGUGGCGAAGGCGGCCUUCUGGACUGACACUGACACUGAGGUGCGAAAGCGUGGGUAGCAAACAGG